GACGAACGCUGGCGGCGUGCUUAACACAUGCAAGUCGAACGGAAAGACCCUGCUUUUGUGGGGUGCUCGAGUGGCGAACGGGUGAGUAACACGUGAGUAACCUGCCCUUGACUUUGGGAUAACUUCAGGAAACUGGGGCUAAUACCGGAUAGGAGCUCCUGCUGCAUGGGGGGGGUUGGAAAGUUUCGGCGGUUGGGGAUGGACUCGCGGCUUAUCAGCUUGUUGGUGGGGUAGUGGCUUACCAAGGCUUUGACGGGUAGCCGGCCUGAGAGGGUGACCGGCCACAUUGGGACUGAGAUACGGCCCAGACUCCUACGGGAGGCAGCAGUGGGGAAUAUUGCACAAUGGGCGGAAGCCUGAUGCAGAAACGCCGCGUGCGGGAUGACGGCCUUCGGGUUGUAAACCGCUUUCGCCUGUGACGAAGCGUGAGUGACGGUAAUGGGUAAAGAAGCACCGGCUAACUACGUG
rnacentral:rRNA from 1 species